rnacentral:rRNA from 1 species
GACGUAGGUGGCGAACGUUAUCCGGAAUUAUUGGGCGUAAAGGGUGCGUAGAUGGUCGAAUAAGUUAGCGGUGGGAAAUCGAGGCCCAACCUCGUGGAAGCUGGUAAUACUGUUCGACUGGAGGGCAGGAGAGGUUAACGGAACUCUAUGUGUAGCGGUAAAAUGUGACGAUAUAUAGAUGAACACCAAUAACGGCGAAGGCAGUUAACUAUUCUGUUCCUGACAUUGAGGCACGAAAGCGUGGGGAGCAAAAAGG